rnacentral:rRNA from 1 species
UACGGGGGAUCCAAGCGUUAUCCGGAAUUACUGGGCGUAAAGAGUUGCGUAGGUGGCAUGGCAAGCAAAUAGUGAAAUCGGGCGGCUCAACCGCUCUUCCAUUAUUUGAACUGCCAAGCUAGAAGACGAGAGAGGUACCUGGAAUUCCCAGUGUAGGAGUGAAAUCCGUAGAUAUUGGGAGGAACACCGAUGGCGUAAGCAGGGUACUAGCUUGUUCUUGACACUAAGGCACGAAAGCGUGGGGAGCGAACGGG